AGAAAAAAAAGAAAAGAAAAAAAGAAAAGCCACGCUUGACUGAUAAUGCAUUGCUUUGGAUGGUGAAACAUUAUGAAAGUUUAAUUUUUAAUUAAAUCUGAAAUACCAAUUAUAACUGAAAGAGAUUUUAACCUGUUUCUUUUCAGACUGCCUGAAGUUACAUUUAGAGACUGAAAUCACUGCACCUUAAAAACAAAAGAUUGGGCUGCACUGUAUUCCUAUAACGUCAAAGGAAGGGCCAAGAAGGUCAAAAGGAAACAUGGACAAAGAGGGGAUAAAGAAGAGGAACUGGAGUAGGUCUAACUUUUGCAUCGGAUUCUUUAGGGAAAACACCUACCAAGGCUUCCUAUUACCUAUUUCACAGUGAACUGGUGAGGGACCUGCUAUGGCCAUCCCUUCAGAGUGCUGAUGCAGAAUGUUUCAUCAUUACUAACAGGAUACUCCUCAUGCUAUUGCUGUCUGCAUUUAGAAGAAUAAGAAACAUGACCUCCCGAACCUAUUAUCACAGAUUUUGGCAAAUAUUUUAGAAUGACUCUGCUAAACAAGAUGGAAGUACUCAAAGGACUUGUUUGGAAGACCCUCCAGAGAGAUACAUUUCCAAAGGAGACUCCUGAGUGGACAGAAGGGGUGAUAGGGUGAAGUUGAGCACUGAUGUUUCCUGUGUGGAACACUGUAUGUGUUGGUGAUUCUUUGAACUACCCAUUAGUAUUCUGUGGUAUUCUGUACAUUUGAAAUGCAUUGGCUUCAUUUG
rnacentral:lncRNA from 1 species